rnacentral:sRNA from 1 species
AUGGCUGUCGUCAGCUCGUGUCGUGAGAUGUUGGGUUAAGUCCCGCAACGAGCGCAACCCUCGCCAUUAGUUGCCAUCAUUCAGUUGGGCACUCUAGUGGGACCGCCGGUGGUAAGCCGGAGGAAGGUGGGGAUGAUGUCAAGUCCUCAUGGCCCUUACAAGGUGGGCUACACACGUGCUACAAUGGCGAUUACAGAGGGCCGCAAACCCGCGAGGGGGAGCCAAUCCCUAAAAGUCGUCUCAGUUCGGAUUGCACUCUGCAACUCGAGUGCAUGAAGUCGGAAUCGCUAGUAAUCGCGGAUCAGCAUCGCCACGGUGAAUACGUUCCCGGGCCUUGUACACACCGCCCGUCACGCCAUGGAAGUGGUGAGCGCCCGAAGUCCGUGUCGGAACCCGCAAGGGGCCAAGCGGCCGAAGGCGAGCAUCAUGACUGGGGCGAAGUCGUAACAAGGUAGCCGUAGGGGAACCUGCGGCUGGAUCACCUCCUUAACGGAGCUGCGAGUAAGGCAGACUUGCCUGGGCAACCAGGGUUACUUGCCGGAAAGCACUCACGUGUCGCUCGUCUCGUAACAUCCAGAUCUCAACUCUCGAUUUCCAUAUGAAAGAGCCCGAACCAUGGUUUCAUGAUUCAGGCUCGAAAGUACAAGAGGGACUUGGGACUAAGUCCUUAGGCACGAGGCGACUGAGCGCUUAUAUCUCAACCGUUUUUUGACAAUGGAAAGUAGUAGUGAUCGUGGGAUUUGAGUAAUGGGAUUUGAUAAGAUCCUGUUACUGAGAACCAACACUAGUGACACAAUUUCAUGCGAAGCUCUGACCUAACGGUUGGGGCUCGAUUUGUCUCAAAGAGCUUGCAUAGCUCCGAGAGUCCAAUGAUUGUAUCACUCGUUAGAUCGUGCGUGUUUCUGUUUGAACAAGUUAUUUGAUCAAGCGAAAGAAAGUAUGUAGGGGAUGCCUAGGUACACGGAGGCGAUGAAGGCCGUGGUAAGCUGCGAUAAGCCAGGGGGAGCGGCACACACGCUAUGAGCCCUGGAUGGCCGAAUGGGGAAACCCGG